rnacentral:sRNA from 1 species
AGACCAAGGAAUUCUGUGAAGCUUGGAUACUUGGGCUCCCAACCAAUCUCAGAACGAGUUCUCGAAUUCUCCAUCUUCUUACCCAGUGGACCAUCUAAUACUAACCAGUAAAACCUUGGAACUUCGUGUCAAAUUUUCCACUUCUGUUAACAGAGUCCAUUAUUUCUUGCCUGAAAAAGGCUUAUUGUCACAGCCCAAAAAGAUUCGACCCCUGUGUCCCUUUUUCAUUAUGGCAAUUGCAAGGGAAGCAGCAUCCUCAUAAUGAAUUUGAUUGAUAAUAUGAUCUGGUCGUGUGUCCAAAGUUCCUUUCCUCAACCAAAAAAAAUGAGCACCUCUAUCUAUUUUGUGUGUCCAAGUCAAGGAAACGUUGUAUCAGUUCUCUUCAUACCAAUGUAAAAGAACUUGCGUUAAUAUUGCUUGCACUUUAGAACAACAAAUAGUCAUCAAUUGAGGAUAUAUAGAGUCCUGCUAGCCUGAGGACACAGCCUCCUGCCUCAAGAACAACAUUCUCUGCUUUUAGAAGGACGUCAGUACGAGGGCUUCUGCCAAUUGGCACAGAUGGGCAAUCCUCAUUGCACAAUUCGUUGUCACUACAAUCGUACAGAGCAGUACUUGAUGUAAAAACGAAAGAGCCUUCACCAGUCCAAUUUGAGGCAGCUACUCUGCACGCAUUUUCUGAAAUAAGAAUACAUCACAUGUCCAUG